AACGAACGCUGGCGGCAUGCCUAACACAUGCAAGUCGAACGAGACCUUCGGGCCUAGUGGCGCACGGGUGCGUAACGCGUGGGAACUUGCCCUUAGGUUCGGUAUAACUCCCCGUAAGGGGUGCUAAUACCGGAUAAUGUCUUCGGACCAAAGAUUUAUUGCCUUUGGAUGGGCCCGCGUUGGAUUCGCUAGUUGGUAGGGUAAAAGCCUACCAAGGCGACGAUCCAUAGCUGGUCUGAGAGGAUGAUCAGCCACACUGGGACUGAGACACGGCCCAGACUCCUACGGGAGGCAGCAGUGGGGAAUAUUGGACAAGGGGCGAAAGCCUGAUCCAGCAAUGCCGCGUGAGUGAUGAAGGCCGUAGGGUUGUAAAGCUCUUUUACCCGAGAUGAUAAUGACAGUACCGGGAGAAUAAGCACCGGCUAACUCCGUG
rnacentral:rRNA from 1 species